GUAGAAUCUGGGGCCACAUGCCACUGGUGGCUUUUUGUGGUUUGGCAGCUACUGAGAGAGGGAGCAUGGGAAGUGGUCAAAUUUCGCUAAGGGACGCAGAUGUUUGAAGAUGGUAAAAUCACAGAACUUUAAUUUUAAGAUGACUAAAAACCUGCAGCAGUGUGGAACCAUAAACCCUGUACAAUCAGGGCCUAAAUGCCUCCAAGUGUCUUUCUGUAUACUUGCUUUUCUUCCCUGAACACCCUCAGUUAAAAGACCAAGAGCUCAAUUUCUCCUAUCUGCCACCAUGUUGGUAGAGAAUCACAGAGGGAAAAACGUGUUUCAUGUUGACUAUGACAUAUGUCUGCUUAACUAUGGAGACAAUACUCUCUCAUAAGAAGACCACAGCCCCUUGAGGGGACCCAACUUGUGCCCAAGACUUAUACUAUAAAGCUCCUUCAGCCAAGAAGUAGAAUACAGCCUCAGACAGUCGGAAGGUUGCAGCAUGCAAAUGAAAUGUGAACAUAAAGCUUCCAACUGCGGCCAUCAAGACACGCCCUCCCUUCCAGCACAGCUUUUCAUACAAAAGGCUUUCAUCUGACCCACACCUGGGACCUCAUCUUCUACAGUCCUACUGCUACAUAAAACUUAAGCUUUCCAAUGCCUCCACUCUUCAGCUAGUAUCCAGGAGAGCUGAUGCUAAACCCUAUGGGCAAGUGAGUGGGCCCAGAUACAAGGCUUUGAAUUGGCCCACCCUAACACCUACCCCAUCGAUGAACUGCUGGAGAACAUGAAGGGUCCAUUGCUAUAGAUUCUAAACAACAGGACCUCUAUGACAGAGGGGACUGCACUGACAAGAUAUCCAAGAGGAGUCCCAAAUUCCCCAAGCUCUCUGAAUACUGGAGGCACCGCUGUUCUGGCUGAUCAUCAUAUGGGGAGCUGUAUAGAGGGGAGUCUCAGACAGGAUGAGAGAGAACUUCUGAGAACCUUUCCAUUUUAAAUAUGCAUUGUCUCCAUGUUAAUAUGAAAAGUCAGAGUAUCACAGGGACCCUGGAAUGCAACUCGGACAUCCACUCACACAUUGUGGCUGCUGCCAUAGCCACAUUAUAUUAAUACAGAGUCUUGCACUUAGAUCCAUUGUGCUUUAUAAUACCAGAGCUUUUACAAUCAUUCUGCAUUCUGUUCUUCCCACAAUCACUUCCUAGAAAUUAAUCUUGGGACUACGAGAGAGAGGAGUGAUUCCCCAAAGCAAAGCUGGGACCCCUCCAAACUCAUUUUAUGGGAAAUAAUAUUCUACCAGAUGGGAGAAGAAAAAAGUGUCACUUUCCUCUAAGCCCAAGGCCUCAUGCUGAAGCAAGAGCCCCGGCAAAAAAAGAGAAGGGAGCCGGUGGCCAGCUAUGUGUCUAAAGGGUGUGCUCCAGUACAAUUACAGAGAUGACCCUGGGCACGAAGUGACAUUAGAAUGCUGUCAGCUUCCAAUUACCUUCUGGCAGGCUCUGCUUGGAUUUAGGAUUCACAGAAGCAACCUUCUGCUUGCUCAUCAGUGUUCCUGUGUCUCACUUCUUCCUCCACCAAGCCUAGCCACAGGUACCACCUGUGAUCCUGCAGAGCUAUAGAGAAUCAGCUAUCCCUCUACCAAAGUGGGACCAUAGGGUGCUGGAUCCUCUUUCUUCUCUUGAGCAUCUACACGUUGUCCAGAAGAGAAUGGCAAUUAGCCAAGUGGGAGCACAGUGUUGAAGAUCGUGUGGAUGCCAGCCCCAUGCCUGUCAUCCCGAGAGCCUUCCUCAGGUUUAAUAAAACCCACACGAAGCUUCAGGCGCAGAA
rnacentral:lncRNA from 1 species